AGAUUGAACGCUGGCGGCAUGCCUAACACAUGCAAGUCGAACGGGAGUAGCAAUACUCUAGUGGCGGACGGGUGAGGAAUACGUAGGAAUUUGCCCUUAAGUGGGGGAUAACCCGGGGAAACCCGGAUUAAUACCGCAUGACCUCGAAAGAGCAAAGUGGGGGAUCGCAAGACCUCACGCUUUUGGAGAAGCCUACGUCGGAUUAGCUAGUUGGUGAGGUAAUGGCUCACCAAGGCGACGAUCCGUAACUGGUCUGAGAGGAUGAUCGAGUCACACCGGAACUGAGACACGGUCCGGACUCCUACGGGAGGCAGCAGUGGGGAAUAUUGGACAAUGGGCGCAAGCCUGAUCCAGCAAUGCCGCGUGUGUGAAGAAGG
rnacentral:rRNA from 1 species